rnacentral:lncRNA from 1 species
CGGUCUUAGAGCCUCAUAAAUAAUAAGUUACUGUUUCAAACCCUACCUACGUAAAGGAUCACUAAUACGAUUCAGUCUCUCUGAAAAAAAAAAGCUACAGAUUUAUUAGCUCGCUUCCUUUAUUCUUUACACUUGUAUAUUUAUUUCUUUGUUAGAGUGUUUCCAUAGUUUUCUUUCAGACGACUGACUCUCUAAUUUUAUUUCUUCUCUUUUUUGUAGAUUUGGUUUCGAUACUCAAAGUAAAGACGCCCGAGCAGCCGCAGCCGGUCGACAAGACGUGGAGCGCUCUCUUGGUGGGAGGCGGAGUGCUGCUGGCCGUGGUCGUAGUCGGUGCCCUGUUCUACCUCACCGCAAUGGGUUUUAAAACCUCGAGCCCUCCCGGCGUAAAAUCUGGCGCUCUCAGGAGCGGCGGUGGUGGGGCGGACAGCGCUCGUCACGAUGCCGACACCAGUGAGCCCAGUGC